GGUGAUCUAGCCAUGGGCAGGUUGAAGGUUGGGUAACACUAACUGGAGGACCGAACCGACUAAUGUUGAAAAAUUAGCGGAUGACCUGUGGCUGGGGGUGAAAGGCCAAUCAAACCGGGAGAUAGCUGGUUCUCCCCGAAAGCUAUUUAGGUAGCGCCUCGUGAAUUCAUCUCCGGGGGUAGAGCACUGUUUCGGCUAGGGGGCCAUCCCGGCUUACCAACCCGAUGCAAACUGCGAAUACCGGAGAAUGUUAUCACGGGAGACACACGGCGGGUGCUAACGUCCGUCGUGAAGAGGGAAACAACCCAGACCGCCAGCUAAGGUCCCAAAGUCAUGGUUAAGUGGGAAACGAUGUGGGAAGGCCCAGACAGCCAGGAUGUUGGCUUAGAAGCAGCCAUCAUUUAAAGAAAGCGUAAUAGCUCACUGGUCGAGUCGGCCUGCGCGGAAGAUGUAACGGGGCUAAACCAUGCACCGAAGCUGCGGCAGCGACACUGUGUGUUGUUGGGUA
rnacentral:rRNA from 1 species